rnacentral:lncRNA from 1 species
AUCGGUGGCAUGCUGGUGCAUGGCUGAGGGAAGCAAAUGAUUUGGUCAUUAUUGGGAGUAUGAUUUGGUCAAACAUACUUGUAGAAUAUUAUUCUGGUUAAGAUAUUGAGCAAUGAAACAGAUCCCCCUUGGAACUUAAAUUGUUAAUCAUGUUGGUUCUUGCGUCUAUACAUGGGCUGUAUCUUUCACUUAUUUUCGACCCAAAUCUACCCCCAAUAUACUGUAAUUUGGUCUAGUUUUGAGAUCCACACCUCUUCUCUGCCGUGGAGGAUUCAGGUCAGCCCUUGUAUAUGGAAACAGGGACUGCCCCAUUUGAUCUUCCAGCCAAUUGAGACGGUGUGCUAUAAUGAGUUGUGCAUGAGAGACUGAUGCAGCCGCCAUGUUUUCGUCGGAGCAUCCACCAGGUGCUCGACAAAAUGUGCCUGUGGUGUGAGUUCUUGUUCCUUCGUGGAAGUUAACCAGGUUGAAAUAGUAUGAUUAAUGAAUGUUGGGAAUCCAGAACCGGCUGUGUUCGUGGCAAUUGGGCUUUACUGUUGCACCAAUUUUACUUGCUAAGUAGUUCUUAUUUGAUAGUUGAUCUUUCUCAUGUUUUUAGUUAGGAUUGUUUAGGGAAUGAUAUUUCUUUUAUUAUCCAAGUAUACCCC